AAGUCGAGCGGAAACGAUGAUAGCUUGCUAUCAGGCGUCGAGCGGCGGACGGGUGAGUAAUACUUAGGAAUCUACCUAGUAGUGGGGGAUAGCACGGGGAAACUCGUAUUAAUACCGCAUACGUCCUACGGGAGAAAGGGGGCAACUUGUUGCUCUCGCUAUUAGAUGAGCCUAAGUCGGAUUAGCUAGAUGGUGGGGUAAAGGCCUACCAUGGCGACGAUCUGUAGCUGGUCUGAGAGGAUGAUCAGCCACACCGGGACUGAGACACGGCCCGGACUCCUACGGGAGGCAGCAGUGGGGAAUAUUGGACAAUGGGGGAAACCCUGAUCCAGCCAUGCCGCGUGUGUGAAGAAGGCCUUUUGGUUGUAAAGCACUUUAAGCAGUGAAGAAGACUCUUCGGUUAAUACCCGGAGACGAUGACAUUAGCUGCAGAAUAAGCACCGGCUAACUCUGUGCCAGCAGCCGCGGUAAUACAGAGGGUGCAAGCGUUAAUCGGAAUUACUGGGCGUAAAGCGAGCGUAGGUGGCUUGAUAAGUCAGAUGUGAAAUCCCCGGGCUUAACCUGGGAACUGCAUCUGAAACUGUUAGGCUAGAGUAGGUGAGAGGGAAGUAGAAUUUCAGGUGUAGCGGUGAAA
rnacentral:rRNA from 1 species